rnacentral:rRNA from 1 species
AUUGAACGCUGGCGGCAGGCCUAACACAUGCAAGUCGAGCGGCAGCGGAAAGUAGCUUGCUACUUUGCCGGCGAGCGGCGGACGGGUGAGUAAUGUCUGGGAAACUGCCUGAUGGAGGGGAAUAACUACUGGAAACGGUAGCUAAUACCGCAUAACGUCGCAAGACCAAAGAGGGGGACCUUCGGGCCUCUUGCCAUCAGAUGUGCCCAGAUGGGAUUAGCUGGUAGGUGGGGUAACGGCUCACCUAGGCGACGAUCCCUAGCUGGUCUGAGAGGAUGACCAGCCACACUGGAACUGAGACACGGUCCAGACUCCUACGGGAGGCAGCAGUGGGGAAUAUUGCACAAUGGGCGCAAGCCUGAUGCAGCCAUGCCGCGUGUAUGAAGAAGGCCUUCGGGUUGUAAAGUACCUUCAGCGGGGAGGAAGGUGUUGAGGUUAAUAACCUCAGCAAUUGACGUUACCCGCAGAAGAAGCACCGGCUAACUCCGUGCCAGCCGCCGCCCGUAACAC